AAACCAAACACCACAUGUUCUCACUCAUAAGUGGGAGUUGAACAAUGAGAACACAUGGAAAAGGGAGGGGAACAUCACAUACCGGGGCCUGUCCGGGGGUGGGGGCUAGGGGAGGGAUAACAUUACAUGUAUACCUAUGUAACAAACCCGCAUGUUCUGCACAUGUACCCCAGAACUUAAAGUAUAAUUUAAAAAAAGAAGUAUUUCCAGAAUCUCAUAUAAAAAAAGAAAAUUAAAAAUGCAGUUUAUUUAUGUAAAAGAUCAGUGGAACUUAAAGAUAAUCACUGAGUGACUUACAGUAAAAAUUAAAAAAUGAAAAAGACUAGUGUACUACAAAAGAGACUAUCUGAAAAAAAAGAAAUAUCACAGAAUAUCAAAAACUUGAAUGGGAACAAGAACUCUGCAGUUUGAGAUUUCUGAUAGUCAUGAAAAAGAAGAAGACCUGUUGCAUAAAAACCAUUUGAUGCAAGAUGAAAUUGCCAGGCUCAGGCUGGAAAUACACACAAUAAAAAAUCAAAUCCUGGAAAAGAAAUACUUAAAAGACAUUGAAAUUAUAAAAAGAAAGCAUGAAGACCUUCAAAAGGCUCUAAAACAGAAUGGGGAAAAAUCAACAAAAACGAUAGCCCAUUAUAGUGGACAGCUUACUGCUCUGACAGAUGAGAACACAAUGCUCCGUUCUAAACUGGAGAAGGAAAAACAAAGCAGGCAAAGACUGACGAAAUGGAAUCAUACCAUCGUAGACUGAAUGUUGCUCUACAUGAUCAUGAUCAAAGUCACUCAACAGAAAGAGACCAAGAGCUUGAUUUCCAGGGCACAGUAGAUAAAUUGCGUCAUUUACAGGAAAAUUUGAAUUCUCAUGUUCUGAUUCUUUCUCAGCAACUUUCUAAAGCUGAGAGUAAGUCCAGGUGCCUCAAAACUGAGCUCCAUAACACAAGAGAGGCUCUGAAAGAAAACGCUUUGGUUUUUGAACACAUACAAAGAGAGCUAAACCAAACGGUGUCAAAUGAAGGACAUUGAAAAAAUGUACACAAGUGGCCAAGAUAAAGUAGAAAAAUGCACAGAAAAGCAAGUAAGAUUAUGUCAACUACGAAGACAAAAUAUGUUGCUUCAACAGCAACUGGAUGAUGUUCACAACAAAGCUGACAAUCAAGAAAAAACAGUAAUUGAUAGUCAAGCCAAAUGUGAUGCUACAGCACAAAAUCUUCAAGCUGAGUGCAUAAAGCACCGUCUUUUGCUAGAAGAACAAGAGGAUGAUCAAUAAAGUUAAUCAUUUGAAAGAAAAACAAUGUCAAUAUGAAAGAGAGAAAGCAGAAAGAGAAGUAGUUGUGAGACAACUUCAACAAAAACAGGGUGACGUCCUAAACAAUCAACAACAAAAGCUUUGCUGGAUGCUUCAUUGCGUCACUGCGUCCAUUGAGAAAGUGAGAUGUAGGAUUCAAGGAAGAAAUUAGGUCAGAUGAGAAUUCAAUUUCAAGAAAAAUGGAAUCAACUUACAGCGACUAUAAAAUGUACUAAGGAGACGCAAGGCCACGUACAAAAACUUGAAAUAGAAAAUUCUAGUGUUAAGAAAUACAAUUAAAAAGCAAGAUGGCCAAAUUGAGCAGCUUCAGAAAAUCCUGCGAAGUUCAAGUUUGAUGCAGCAGUUAUUGCAAGAAAAUGAAACUACAGAAAUAGAUGAAGCUUCUUCUGAAUUUAAAUCUGGAUCCUCUGUAGCAGAGGUUCCCAACCUACAGGCCAUGGACAGGUCCAUGACCUGUUAGGAACCAGCUGCACAGCAGGAGAGUUACUGUGGAUCUUCUAGAUCAUCUGCAUGCCAUGUGAAUCUUAAAACCAGUUUUUAAUUUCUACAAAAAAAAAAAAAAAAAA